rnacentral:rRNA from 1 species
AUAUAGAGAUUUUCGGAUUUUGUUCACCGGAUAGUAGUUACAUAGCCAAUUGUGGAACUUUCUUGCUAAAAUUUUUCAAGUUUUAAUCUUAACGGAUUAUAUUCUUGUUUAAUUAUAACGAUUAUCAAUUAACAAUCAAUUCAGAACUGGCACGGACUUGGGGAAUCCGACUGUCUAAUUAAAACAAAGCAUUGUGAUGGCCCUAGCGGGUGUUGACACAAUGUGAUUUCUGCCCAGUGCUCUGAAUGUCAAAGUGAAGAAAUUCAAGUAAGCGCGGGUAAACGGCGGGAGUAACUAUGACUCUCUUAAGGUAGCCAAAUGCCUCGUCAUCUAAUUAGUGACGCGCAUGAAUGGAUUAACGAGAUUCCUUCUGUCCCUAUCUACUGUCUAGCGAAACCACAGCCAAGGGAACGGGCUUGGAAUAAUUAGCGGGGAAAGAAGACCCUAUUGAGCUUGACUCUAAUCUGGCAGUGUAAGGAGACAUAAGAGGUGUAGAAUAAGUGGGAGAUAUUUAGAAAUUUAUUUUUAUUUAUCGCCAAUGAAAUACCACUACUCUUAUUGUUUCCUUACUUACUUGAUUAAAUGGAACGUGUAUCAUUGCUUAGCCAUAUUAAGGAUCUAUUUUUAAUAGAUCUUAUGGUAUUGGGUCUUGAUGCAAGCUUCUUGAUCAAAGUAUCACGAGUUUGUUAUAUAAUUGUAAACAAAAUUUAAUGAAAAUAAUUGUAUUCUUAUACUUUUAUUGUUAAUUAAAAUUUGGUAUAACUCCAACACUCAGGUAUGAUCCAAUUCAAGGACAUUGCCAGGUGGGGAGUUCGACUGGGGCGGUACAUCUCUCAAAUAAUAACGG